rnacentral:rRNA from 1 species
UACAGAGGGUGCAAGCGUUAUCCGGAUUUAUUGGGCGUAAAGCGUUUCGUAGGCUUUUUGAUAAGUUAUGCUUCAAAUCCCGGGGCUCAACCUCGGAGCGGGGUGUAAUACUAUCAGGAUUGAAGGUUCUCGGGGCUAUUGGAACUGUUGGUGUAGGAGUGAAAUCCGUUGAUAUCAACAGGAACACCAAGGGCGAAGGCAAAUAGCUAGGGAAUUCUUGACGCUGAGGAACGAAAGCUAGGGGAGCGAA